CCUGUGAGGAAGGAGCUCCAUCAUCUGACGAAAUGUGUGUUCUUUUAUCCAGGUUUUUCAACCCACCUAGACGGCAGGAUCUGCCCCCUUUGUGUAAUUUUUCUGGGUUCCCCUCUCCAUUCUCAUCCGACAAAGAAGAAGACUGAUUGUUGCUAUGCAGAUUUUCUUGGUUAAUACACCCCCUGUGAGGAAGGAGCUCCAUCAUCUGACGAAAUGUGUGUUCUUUUAUCCAGGUUUUUCAACCCACCUAGACGGCAGGAUCUGCCCCCUUUGUGUAAUUUUUCUGGGUUCCCCUCUCCAUUCUCAUCCGACAAAGAAGAAGACUGAUUGUUGCUAUGCAGAUUUUCUUGGUUAAUACACCCAUCAGUGAAACAAUAGGCUGGGCUGAUAUAUUCAGA
rnacentral:misc_RNA from 1 species